GAUGAACGCUGGCGGCGUGCCUAAUACAUGCAAGUCGAGCGAACGGACGAGGAGCUUGCUUCUCUGAUGUUAGCGGCGGACGGGUGAGUAACACGUGGAUAACCUACCUAUAAGACUGGGAUAACUUCGGGAAACCGGAGCUAAUACCGGAUAAUAUUUUGAACCGCAUGGUUCAAAAGUGAAAGACGGUCUUGCUGUCACUUAUAGAUGGAUCCGCGCUGCAUUAGCUAGUUGGUAAGGUAACGGCUUACCAAGGCAACGAUGCAUAGCCGACCUGAGAGGGUGAUCGGCCACACUGGAACUGAGACACGGUCCAGACUCCUACGGGAGGCAGCAGUAGGGAAUCUUCCGCAAUGGGCGAAAGCCUGACGGAGCAACGCCGCGUGAGUGAUGAAGGUCUUCGGAUCGUAAAACUCUGUUAUUAGGGAAGAACAUAUGUGUAAGUAACUGUGCACAUCUUGACGGUACCUAAUCAGAAAGCCACGGCUAACUACGUGCCAGCAGCCGCGGUAAUACGUAGGUGGCAAGCGUUAUCCGGAAUUAUUGGGCGUAAAGCGCGCGUAGGCGGUUUUUUAAGUCUGAUGUGAAAGCCCACGGCUCAACCGUGGAGGGUCAUUGGAAACUGGAAAACUUGAGUGCAGAAGGGGAAAGUGGAAUUCCAUGUGUAGCGGUGAAAUGCGCAGAGAUAUGGAGGAACACCAGUGGCGAAGGCGACUUUCUGGUCUGUAACUGACGCUGAUGUGCGAAAGCGUGGGGAUCAAACAGGAUUAGAUACCCUGGUAGUCCACGCCGUAAACGAUGAGUGCUAAGUGUUAGGGGGUUUCCGCCCCUUAGUGCUGCAGCUAACGCAUUAAGCACUCCGCCUGGGGAGUACGACCGCAAGGUUGAAACUCAAAGGAAUUGACGGGGACCCGCACAAGCGGUGGAGCAUGUGGUUUAAUUCGAAGCAACGCGAAGAACCUUACCAAAUCUUGACAUCCUUUGACAACUCUAGAGAUAGAGCCUUCCCCUUCGGGGGACAAAGUGACAGGUGGUGCAUGGUUGUCGUCAGCUCGUGUCGUGAGAUGUUGGGUUAAGUCCCGCAACGAGCGCAACCCUUAAGCUUAGUUGCCAUCAUUAAGUUGGGCACUCUAAGUUGACUGCCGGUGACAAACCGGAGGAAGGUGGGGAUGACGUCAAAUCAUCAUGCCCCUUAUGAUUUGGGCUACACACGUGCUACAAUGGACAAUACAAAGGGCAGCGAAACCGCGAGGUCAAGCAAAUCCCAUAAAGUUGUUCUCAGUUCGGAUUGUAGUCUGCAACUCGACUACAUGAAGCUGGAAUCGCUAGUAAUCGUAGAUCAGCAUGCUACGGUGAAUACGUUCCCGGGUCU
rnacentral:rRNA from 1 species